rnacentral:tRNA from 1 species
UCCCUGGUGGUCCAGUGGCUAAGACUCAGCACUCCCAGUGCAGGGUCCUGGGUUCAAUCCCUGGUCAGGGAA